CAUGAUUAAAAUACACAGCUGACAAACCGGAAGAGUUCUACUACAGACAGGGGUCUCUCCAGAGAGGGCAUGCUAAGUUGUUUACAAGUUUCUUCAGCAGUUCUCCUGGCGCUCAUGCAUUCAGUCUUCAUUACGUCACGUUUCUGCUGUCCAAGAUUCCAGCCACCCUCCCCAUUUUCACGGAAGCCGAGGGCAGUGCACGUGAACUGACUCAUUUCUCCGACUCCGACCUGAGCUCCACACUGAUGUACAACCCACUGCUUCAAAGCGGCUCUGAUAACAGUCAGCACGUUUCCUUUUCUACAGACAUAAAAGAGAAUUGUUUUAAAGCCUCUACAGACACCCUCUGUGUUUUUGUUAGUCCUAGGUAAUCAGGUUUGGGCAUCCUAAAAAAUCAUUUUCUGUUAUCACCACCCACCGAAACACCAAUUGAUCUCUACGUAAUUUCCCCAAACAAAUCAACUUUUACAUAUUAUUUCAGUGAUGUUUGUUUCUGCUAUGAAAACUAUUGGCAUUUGUUCGUCUUCAGAAUCUUCUGAAGGAAUGCCUCUACCUUCGCUUUCUUUUUAAGAGUUCUGCAACGGUUCUUUUUAAGUGCCUGCAGAGGUUGUAUUUGCUCUCCCAAAGGGCCUGCCUGCCUGCCUGCGGUGUAAGUUUCCAUUUUUCUAGAGCUCAGCAACCUUCUCCCUGACUCCACUGCGGGACAGCCUGAAAUCUGGGUUCUUAGCUUCCAGACCGUGGACUAUCUUAGCGUUGUAUGCCUACACCCCUUCCUCUUGGGAACCCCAACAUCUAGUCUUCCUCCAGCCAUUCAGAUUGGCCUAGUCCUCAAUGGGAAAGAGAACUGGUUUUGUCUUCUACAUUUGCUAAGUGAACUGGUCUGACCUAGAGCUUGCUAUGGUAAAGGAUGCCCUUGAACUUCCUCAUCUGCCCAUCUCUACUUCCGAAGGACUGGGAUUACAGGUAUGUGCCACUGCACCUAGUUUUAUGCAGUGCUGGGGAUGGAUCCAGGACUUCCUGCAUGCUAACAAACAUAUUAACAAACAUUACUGUUAAAAUGUAAAAUUAUAUGCAGUAACUAUAAUCUUCCCUUUAAGUAGCAUCAUUUGUUAAGGCCAAAGAAUCAUAGCUUACUGAAAAGCUGCAAAACUAUCACCAGAAUUACCCAUUUAUCACUCAAUCUGUCUGCUUCUCUGUGGUGUUCCUUAUGAAGCUUAUUGAAAUGAAUAAAGAGUAUAUUAGACAAACUGCAGUAAGAGGCAAGCAAAACCAGAAAAGCAUAAAUCAUAAAGAAGGAGCCUAUUAAAAUAUUAAGGGGCUGGGGAGAUUGCUCAGCAGUCAAGAGUAGUUAAUGCUCUUCAGAGGACCCAAGUUUGUUUCCCAGCUGGUUGGCUCACAACUACCUUAACUCCAGCUCCAGGGGACCUAAUGCCUCUGGCCUCUGAAGGAAUCUGCACU